UGGGGAAUAUUGCACAAUGGGCGCAAGCCUGAUGCAGCCAUGCCGCGUGUAUGAAGAAGGCCUUCGGGUUGUAAAGUACUUUCAGCGGGGAGGAAGGUGUUGAGGUUAAUAACCUCAGCAAUUGACGUUACCCGCAGAAGUAGCACCGGCUAACUCCGUGCCAGCAGCCGCGGUAAUACGGAGGGUGCAAGCGUUAAUCGGAAUUACUGGGCGUAAAGCGCACGCAGGCGGUCUGUCAAGUCGGAUGUGAAAUCCCCGGGCUCAACCUGGGAACUGCAUUCGAAACUGGCAGGCUAGAGUCUUGUAGAGGGGGGUAGAAUUCCAGGUGUAGCGGUGAAAUGCGUAGAGAUCUGGAGGAAUACCGGUGGCGAAGGCGGCCCCCUGGACAAAGACUGACGCUCAGGUGCGAAAGCGUGGGGAGCAAACA
rnacentral:rRNA from 1 species